rnacentral:rRNA from 1 species
UCGGUUUGGGUGGCGGACGGGUGAGUAACGCGUAAAGAACUUGCCUCACAGUUAGGGACAACAUUUGGAAACGAAUGCUAAUACCUGAUAUUAUGAUUUUAGGGCAUCCUAAGAUUAUGAAAGCUAUAUGCGCUGUGAGAGAGCUUUGCGUCCCAUUAGCUAGUUGGAGAGGCAACGGCUCACCAAGGCGAUGAUGGGUAGCCGGCCUGAGAGGGUGAACGGCCACAAGGGGACUGAGACACGGCCCUUACUCCUACGGGAGGCAGCAGUGGGGAAUAUUGGACAAUGGACCAAAAGUCUGAUCCAGCAAUUCUGUGUGCACGAUGACGUUUUUCGGAAUGUAAAGUGCUUUCAGUUGGGAAGAAAAAAUGACGGUACCAACAGAAGAAGUGACGGCUAAAUACGUGCCAGCAGCCGCGGUAAUACGUAUGUCACAAGCGUUAUCCGGAUUUAUUGGGCGUAAAGCGCGUCUAGGUGGUUAUGUAAGUCUGAUGUGAAAAUGCAGGGCUCAACUCUGUAUUGCGUUGGAAACUGCAUGACUAGAGUACUGGAGAGGUAAGCGGAACUACAAGUGUAGAGGUGAAAUUCGUAGAUAUUUGUAGGAAUGCCGAUGGGGAAGCCAGCUUACUGGACAGAUACUGACGCUAAAGCGCGAAAGCGUGGGUAGCAAACAGGAUUAGAUACCCUGGUAGUCCACGCCGUAAACGAUGAUUACUAGGUGUUGGGGGUCGAACCUCA